GUUUUAGUGGGUGUAUGUCACGAGCAGAGGGCAAGGGAAAAGGGAAAAACCCUUCUCCUUCAAUUGAACUCAAGAUUCAGCAAAUUGGUGAUGGUUUUAAACACAAAUCGAAUGCAUGAGCUUAGUUACUCCAUAACCUAAGUGGUUUGAACAUAAGUUGAAAUUGAUGAUCUAUGUUAAGGAUUGGGAAGAGGAUCAUAUCAAGAUGGAUGGAAGCAUGAAGGGCUAACGGGUCAAGAGGACAUGGGGAAGCGAACGCAAAUACGGAUGCGUAAGGUAAGUAAUUUCCCGGACUCCCUCUUUAGUAGUAAAGAAAUUAGUUGCAUAAUAAAUGUUAGAAGUUGUGUUGAAACGUGAAUUUGAUGAUGAUAUCAAGUAUUAGUAUUAAGUGAGUGAUUUUCCGGAAUCACUUCUUAGUUUAUUAAAGUAAGGUUAUGUGCUAGUUAUUUAAGUAUGGUAUUGGAGUUUAGGAAGGUUUGAGUAUGUAGAAGUGAAGGUUUCCGCUAAGCCGACCAAACGGGUCAAAAUGAGAGUUACCCAUUACGGUAUGAUUUGCAUAAGUUAUGACGAAGGUAUUAUAACCGGGUCAUGGAAAUAAUUUCUUACAAGUGCGAUAACCGAGAAACGGGGACAUGGGUUAAUGGUCAAAAGGCUUAGUCUUGAGUUUAAACAAAAGAGUUGUUUGAUAAAAACAUGAACGGGUCGAAUAAUUUGUAAAUGAAUAUUAAGCCAAAAGCAUAUAAGUUAAGAACUUCCUUAGUUUGGAUGUUAGAUUUUGAGUCCAUUUGAUAGAGGACCAAAAUAUGGUCAUGUAGGAAGAAACGAGAGGUUAAACGGGUGAACGGUUUGAAAGUUACGGCCGUUUUCGUAAAAAGGACAAAGUUGGAAAAGCUGCAGAGCAGCCAAAUCGUAAGCUACGGCUCAACUGUAGGCUACAGAACCUUACGACAUGCAGCUUUUGCAAAAUGUUGAUUGUUUUGUUAUUUUGGCCUUCGGGCAUAAAUAGAUAUGUUAUAAACUCCUCAUAACUAACGUUUUUGGAUUAUAAAUGUGUCUGGGAACGAGUAAGUAUGUAUGUUAAUAUGUAUAACACCUAUUUUAUGAGAGUUGUGAAUAUUACACGUUAGUAUAAGUUUAUGUGUAUAAAAGAAAUAAACAAGUACUCGUAUGCAUGUAUGCGUGUAUGAAUGAAACAUGUAUAUAGGUGUAUAUUAUUGCGUAAACGUAGGUAUGAAGGUAAGUAUGUAUGAAUGCAAGAUGCUAUGAAUGUAAGAUGCUAUGUAUGUAUGUAUGUAUGUAUGUAGGAAUGGUUUCAAGAUGUCUGGGUAUUGACGAUUACUAAUGAUGUGCUUUGAGUUUGGAAUGAAAUGCAGAUAUGAAAUCGUCGGGUUCAUGAGGAAUUGAAGCCGGACUUGGAUUAAGAGUAUUUAAGAGAAUGCUUGGAUAAUUCCAUGCUUACAUUAUGGAAUGCUAUGCGAAUUUCAAUUAUAUAGUAUAAUGUUGUAUGGUGAGAUAAUGACUAAUGGUUAAGUCGUAUAUGAUGUCCACAGGUAUCACACGGAUUUCCUCUACCACUAACGAAGAUAAACGGGCGUAGAUCGAGUUAAAGAACAAGGAUUGUACGGAUAGGACGACCACCUAGCUUGAAUUAUGUAACGCGCCUUGAAGUAUUAAUUUAAGUAUGAACGUUGUUAAUUCUUUCUAGUAAAAGUUUGACAUUUUUGUAACUAAGCCUUUUCGUAAGUAAUGUCGUUAACAAAGAAAGGAAUUUU
rnacentral:lncRNA from 1 species